AUGAUCUGUCAUGUGGAGGACACAGAGGCCGAUGAGCUUAUCAGUGAGCUUGUGCUUCUGUCUGUGAAAGAACCAAGACACACAUCCAACACCACUGCCAAGCGGAGCCAAAAUGCCUUCAUUUAAAGAAACCAGCUACAGUCUGGGACUUUAACCCUGAAACGCAGCGGAUCCUCUGGGCUAAAGUGAGAAGUGUGGACGUGGAGCCUGCUGCCUGUCAGCUCGGACCCGGCGCCUGCUUUCAGUCCUAAUGCCUGGACUGUGUGACAUCAAGACACCACAAGAAGGAGAGAUCUUCAACAUGAACACAGACAGUGGAGGACAUGUCCACAAAAGCGCCACAUUUUCACUCACUCUAACCCCAAUGAAGAGAAUCCAGAGCUCACCAAACCUAUACACGCUCACAGGUAUCAGGAACCAGAUCAUACUCAU
rnacentral:lncRNA from 1 species